rnacentral:rRNA from 1 species
UACGUAGGGUGCGAGCGUUGUCCGGAAUUAUUGGGCGUAAAGGGCUCGUAGGCGGUCUGUCGCGUCGGGAGUGAAAACUCAGGGCUUAACCCCGAGCCUGCAGUGGAUACGGGCAGACUAGAGGUAGGUAGGGGAGAAUGGAAUUCCCGGUGUAGCGGUGAAAUGCGCAGAUAUCAGGAGGAACACCCAUGGCGAAGGCAGCAAACUGGUCAUCAACUGACGCUGAGGCGCGAAAGCGUGGGUAGCAAACAGG